rnacentral:rRNA from 1 species
UACGUAGGUGGCAAGCGUUGUCCGGAUUUACUGGGCGUAAAGAGCGCGCAGGCGGUCGUUCAAGUCGAGUGUGAAAGCCCCCGGCUCAACUGGGGAGGGUCAUUCGAUACUGAUCGACUCGAAGGCAGGAGAGGGAAGCGGAAUUCCCGGUGUAGUGGUGAAAUGCGUAGAUAUCGGGAGGAACACCAGUGGCGAAGGCGGCUUCCUGGCCUGUUCUUGACGCUGAGGCGCGAAAGCUAGGGGAGCAAACGGG